rnacentral:pre_miRNA from 1 species
UUGAAUGGGAAUUGAUUUAUGUUUAGAUACAUUCACUUAAAAUUGAUUCCUAAAUAUUCUUGUUGUUUGGAUAG